rnacentral:rRNA from 1 species
UACGAAGGGGGCUAGCGUUGCUCGGAAUCACUGGGCGUAAAGGGUGCGUAGGCGGGUCUUUUAAGUCAGGGGUGAAAUCCUGGAGCUCAACUCCAGAACUGCCUUUGAUACUGAAGAUCUUGAGUUCGGGAGAGGUGAGUGGAACUGCGAGUGUAGAGGUGAAAUUCGUAGAUAUUCGCAAGAACACCAGUGGCGAAGGCGGCUCACUGGCCCGAUACUGACGCUGAGGCACGAAAGCGUGGGGAGCAA